rnacentral:tRNA from 1 species
GGGGGUGUGGUGGAGUAGUCAAUCACAGCAGACUGUAAAUCUGCCGGCCAUAGGCCUACGUAGGUGCAAAUCCUACCGCCCCCA